GACGAACGCUGGCGGCGUGCUUAACACAUGCAAGUCGAACGACGUGUCGAACGGGUGUGUAAUACGUGGGUAACCUUCCCUCCUUUUUGGGAUUAGCCUUUGAAACGGGUUCUAAUACCCACUUAAGGGUGUUGGGCUCUCGGCCUAUCAGCUUGUUGGUGGGGUGAUGGCCUACCAAGGCGGUGACGGGUAGCCGGCCUGAGAGGGUGACCGGCCACAUUGGGACUGAGAGACGGCCCAGACUCCUACGGGAGGCAGCAGUGGGGGAUAUUGCACAAUGGGCGAAAGCCUGAUGCAGCGACGCCGCGUGUAUGAAGAAGGCCUUCGGGUUGUAAAGGACUUUCAGCGAGGAGGCGUUACUCGCAGAAGAAGCACCGGCUAACUCCGUGCCAGCCGCCGCGGUAAUUC
rnacentral:rRNA from 1 species